rnacentral:lncRNA from 1 species
AGUAACCAGGAAAGAGAAAGUGAAGCAAAGUAUUUUAUUUUCUUUCCCAGUCCCCAGAGUGGAGCUCUCUCUUAUCAAAUCUUCUUUCCUUGGCUGUCAACUGCUGCUGCUUCUGCUCCAAGAAACUCCAAAGGCUAUUUGGAGUCAAUCUAUUUAAAACAAGACCAAACUUUUAUAAUAAUGCUAAAAGUGAUUUAUAUCAGAACCCUACCCAAUCUUGAUUUCCAAGAGAGUCAGAUUUUUAUAGGAAUAGAGGGACUCCAAGUGCCUGAUACAGUGAGAAUGAAAGAAACUUGGAAGAAGAUUGUCUUGCAAAAGACAUAUGGAAGAGAUCCUAGAAUAUCAUACAGAUGAUGGAGGAAUUUAUGGUAAGUCUUUGUGUCAUAACCACUGGAAAGAGAUAAAGGGUUACCAUAUUGUGGAAGAAAAGAGUGAGCAAAGAUUUUUGAAGAUGAUUUCAUUCUUCUAGGAGAAUAUCAAGAAUUUAAAAAAAAAAAAAUGCCAUGGAGAAGAGUCAAGAAAUUCAAACUGCUUUUUCCUACCUGCUGGAAAAAUUCCAGAGUAAAUGUGCUAAAAGUAAAACAUGCUUUUGUUGAAGUGUAUUCUAUAGGUUAUUUUUUUUCUAAAGAGUUACUACAUAGAAAUAGAUAAAGAAAAUGUGAUAUUUAUAUCUGCAAUGGAAUAUUACUCAGCCAUGAAAAAGAAGGAAAUCUUGCCAUCUGGAACGAUGGAUAGACCACGAAGGCAUUAUGCUAA